GACGAAGGUGGCGAGCGUUGUUCGGAAUCACUGGGCAUAAAGCGCACGUAGGCGGUGACGUAAGUCGGGUGUGAAAUCCCUCGGCCUAACCGAGGAACUGCGCCCGAUACUGCGUUGCUUGAGGACCAGAGGGGUGCAUGGAAUUUCCGGUGGAGCGGUGAAAUGCGUUGAUAUCGGAAGGAACUCCGGCGGCGAAAGCGGCAUCCUGGACCGGCAUUGACGCGUGAGACGGCG
rnacentral:rRNA from 1 species